rnacentral:hammerhead_ribozyme from 1 species
AUCCACAUGACGAGUCUCAAAUAGGACGAAACGCAUGUCCUGAAU